rnacentral:rRNA from 1 species
GCUAGUAAUCGCAGGUCAGCAUACUGCGGUGAAUACGUUCCCGGGUCUUGUACACACCGCCCGUCANACCAUGGGAGCCGGAAAUGCCCGGAGCCAGUGACCCAACCUUAGGGAGGGAGCUGUCGAAGGUGGAGCCGGUAACUGGGGUGAAGUCGUAACAAGGUAGC